ACGUACACUCCUACGGGAGGCAGCAGUGGGGAAUAUUGGACAAUGGGCGCAAGCCUGAUCCAGCCAUGCCGCGUGAGUGAUGAAGGCCCUAGGGUUGUAAAGCUCUUUCACCGGUGAAGAUAAUGACGGUAACCGGAGAAGAAGCCCCGGCUAACUUCGUGCCAGCAGCCGCGGUAAUACGAAGGGGGCUAGCGUUGUUCGGAUUUACUGGGCGUAAAGCGCACGUAGGCGGACUAUUAAGUCAGGGGUGAAAUCCCGGGGCUCAACCCCGGAACUGCCUUUGAUACUGGUAGUCUUGAGUUCGAGAGAGGUGAGUGGAAUUCCGAGUGUAGAGGUGAAAUUCGUAGAUAUUCGGAGGAACACCAGUGGCGAAGGCGGCUCACUGGCUCGAUACUGACGCUGAGGUGCGAAAGCGUGGGGGGCAAACAGGAUUAGAUACCCGAGUAGUCCCA
rnacentral:rRNA from 1 species